rnacentral:snRNA from 1 species
AUACUUACCUGGCAAGGGAGACACCAUGAUCUGGAAGGUGGUUUGGAGACACCAUGAUCUGGAAGGUGGUUUUCCCAGGGUAAUUGUCUCUGAUAUGUCCUCCAUAGGAGGUCUAUACUGAGCAGAUUCUUUUUGGUAUUGGGUGGUGGAACUGGAGCGUGCUCCAUCCACUC